rnacentral:rRNA from 1 species
UACGUAGGUGGCAAGCGUUGUCCGGAUUUACUGGGCGUAAAGAGCGCGCAGGCGGUCGUUCAAGUCGCGUGUGAAAGCCCCCGGCUCAACUGGGGAGGGUCACGCGAUACUGAUCGACUCGAAGGCAGGAGAGGGUAGUGGAAUUCCCGGUGUUGUGGUGAAAUGCGUAGAUAUCGGGAGGAACACCAGUGGCGAAGGCGACUACCUGGCCUGUUCUUGACGCUGAGGCGCGAAAGCUAGGGGAGCAAACGGG